UCAACGGCCCUUUUCAGGGCCACCAACUUCUGCAAGAAAAGAGCUGU
rfam:Anolis carolinensis unplaced genomic scaffold chrTn0087, whole genome shotgun sequence.